rnacentral:rRNA from 1 species
AGAUUGAACGCUGGCGGCAUGCCUUACACAUGCAAGUCGAACGGUAGAGUAGCAAUACUUGAGAGUGGCGAACGGGUGAGUAAUAUAUCGGAACGUGCCCAGUCGUGGGGGAUAACGUAGAGAAAUUUACGCUAAUACCGCAUACGAUCUAAGGAUGAAAGCGGGGGACUCGCAAGAGCCUCGCGCGAUUGGAGCGGCUGAUAUCAGAUUAGGUUGUUGGUGAGGUAAAAGCUCACCAAGCCGACGAUCUGUAGCUGGUUUGAGAGAACGACCAGCCACACUGGGACUGAGACACGGCCCAGACU